UAUUUCCACAGAUAGUUGCAGAUUUUCAACACAAGCGGUUGUCUAGUGGUUCACAACGCAUCAAAAUGCAUUUCACCAGAAUUUUACAAUUAAAUUUAUUAAACAAUAAUUUACAAUAUGGUCGUAUUAUGAAGAGAUUUCAACAUCAAACAUACGAAAUGAAAAAAAGGAAUAAAAAUGAUGACCACCCAGCGGCUGCUGAAAACUCAGACACAGAAGACGAAGAAGAAGAAAACCCAAAAAUGUUUUUUUGCCAGAGAGUGACAAAAUUUCAAACAAAUCUAAGGGCUCUUUAUCCAACUUCUACCCCCAACCGUCCAGAGUUUAGAUUAUAAUGUAUUCGCUAUAGCUGCUUGGUAAAAUCUGAAAUCUAAAAAUAUAGGAAAAAAUCAUUUGUAUUUUAGAAUUUUUCAAUUUUUAUUUCAAUAUUCAUUCAUUUAUUUUUGUUUGUUGCUGUUUGUAGUUCUCAUUAAUGUACAUAUACAUCAAACAUAAAAUAGAA
rnacentral:sRNA from 1 species